GUGGCGAUGGUAACGCUUCUUUUUGUUGGGACGUUGGUUAGGAUCUUGAAGCUCUUCACCGGAAGGAUUCUCGGUGGUGACUUCGGUGCCUGACUUGGUCUCGAAAUCAUCUUCACGGCUUCCGGUGAUUCCAAAGUCGUUGUCGGAGGUACUCUUUGUGGUCAUGUCGAACAUAUGAUGGCUCUCAAACAUGUUUGGAUGAUACAUUGUGAUGAUGAUUUGAUUCUGAUCACUCAAUCAGAUACUAAUAACCACGUUUUUAAGUUGUGAACGUUGGUUCCCUCAAAUCUUCUAGGCUAUGAUCAUAAUUGUUUCUUGAUUUGGUUUUCUACUCCAAGUAUAUCUUCCACUGCAUGCUCAAAAUCAAAAUAGUUAAAGAUUGUAUUUGAAAUGGUCACAUAUAUCUAAAUGGAAUGAAGAAGAUCAUUAUCGCAAUGGAAGAAAAUAAUGAUGUUAAGAAGAAAUAAUUUCGAGGUGUUAUGAAACUCUAAUUAGCUUUAAUAUAUAGUGAUCAUUUUCACAAUUAAACGGUAAACUAACAAUAAAAUAUGGGGUUCCACCCUUUUUGUUAUAUAUAUAUAUACUACACUUUUUAGAUUACAAAAAAAUCACUUAUAUCACAUAUGUAUAGAUAAACUAUAUGAGCCUUAUCUUAAUAGUAGAAAAUUUAGACAUAAAUAAAAAUAAGUAUUAAUUUAGAUAAUUUUAUAAAUAUAGCUAGAUACAACAAAAACAAGGGAGAAGUUCACGUUUUUUCUUCAAGCUAGAUCGAGAUGAAUGAUAAUAUUCGACGACACUGAGCCACAACCACAACCGCAGUAUAGACCUAUGAGUAUCUACUUCUUAAUAUAACAUAUUAAUAAACUAGCUACAAUCAUGAUAAUCUUCUUGAUACAUUAAUUGUAUAAAUAUGUGAUAUAAAUAAGAGGAAACACUUGGAUAUAUAUACCAAAAAUGAUAUUUUUGAAAAGAAAAUUAUAGAGAAAAUAUCAUCCUUCUUCAUACUUAAGAUGAAAGGGAUCUAUAGUACAUAUAUAAAACAGUGCAUAUAUGUGAGCGUAUCUGUCUCCUAGUGUGCGUGCAAAUCAACAAAGAAAGAAAACCAAUCAUGGAAAGUCACAAGACUUCUCAAAAACAUUAGAUCUACCGGACAGAUCUGACGGUGAAGGAAGAUGGGAAAGAGAGCUAUGUUCUUUAAGAAACCCUAAUUUGGGGUAAGGUCAAAAAUGAAAACAAGAACAUACUUAUUUCGAUCUGAUCUUCUGAGUUCUUUGGAAGUUUUUGAAACCCUCUAAAGACAGAUCUCCUUGUAGUUAUUUUUUUCUUUUUCCUUUUGGUUGGUGGAAAUUUUGGGUUCGAGUUAAAUGAGUUUCUCUCUCAAAAGCUAGUAAGAGAGAGAGAGAGAGAGUACAAGUUUCUAAUCUCUCAAUCAAAUUUAUUAAAAAAUUAAAUUGACCUUAGUCUUGGUGCAAUAAAAGGAACCGUUUUCGGUAAAGAUACUAAAACUAAUAAGAUAGACUAGACUUAAUUAAUUAAAUGUGUAGAAAGAUAGAGAUCUAGGGUUCUAUAAUUAAAUGUAGUAUAGGGUUAAUUUAAGCGUUGACAAUAAGUCAAUGGACUGUGUUGGUUACACAACCACCAAGUAGAUUUCGUCAAACCCCUUUUGAACUUGUAACUCCAAGAAAGUUUUUAGUAAACUCCAAGAAAGUUUUUAGUAACGCUUUCUUAGUUCUUAACGAGAUCAUAAGUCUUCGCAAAAAGACACUAACGCGUGAAACUAAACUAUAUAUAAAAAAAUCUAAAACAUAAACACAGCAUUAUACUAUAAAUCUAGAUCUUGAGAAACCAAAAUUUAAAUUAAAAAAAGAAGAAAAUAAAUGGAAGCUCUAACCACUUAUUCUUAAUUCUCAGACAUGCAAUACAUACGCAGAGGGAUACAUGUUGACAAAAAAAAAGCAUAGGGAUACAUAUCUGCGUGCAUAAAAUAUAUAUAUAUAGAGAGAGAGAUCUUACUUCUGGAGGCAUAAUGAAACCCUAAUUCACAAUGAUCUUUGGUUUGUGGCAGUUUUUCUUUAGGGUAACAAAAGAUCCGGGAUAGUGGCAAGGAGAAACAAAAGGGAGUUUUUGUUAGGAAUCUGGCUAACCGACCGGUCACCAGAAACCCGGGUUUUUCUUGGACAAUCUUAAACCGAGGAAGAGGUAACUAGGUACAAUGGAAGUUUGUGGAAGAAGGAGAAAGAGAAGAAGAAGACAAGGGAGGAAGAAAGGAAACAGGUGGAUUUGCAAGAAGAAAAAGGAGUUAUUGCUUGGCGCAUAGAGAGGGUGCAAUGCAUUUAUGAUUAUCUAAAGCUCCAUAAAUGCUCCUGUGGGAAAAACUUACUCUUACUUGUAUAUAUAUAGAGGAGAGUUUCAGUCCAUAUAAGGUAAAAGACAAAUUUAAAAAGUUACUGUUUUUCUUUCACCUCCUGGUUUCCCAAUUCUUAUACCUAUAUAGGUAAGAAACCAUCAGCUUUGAAAAGUAAUUAUUUAUAUUACAUAUAAAUGGAUUUCUUUUGCUUCCAUACUAAUUAAUGUGUAAAUGCAUCUAUUACCAACCCAUUUUCUAACCUCUGUACCAACAACAGCCGAUCAGUUAGGUUUACAAAUGUUUAUUUUUGUCACUACGUGGUUUUAUGUUCUCAAAAUCUAGAUUUUUAGUUUGUAGAUUAAUUAAGUACUCUAUUAUAGUAUCUGUGUGCGCGCUUAUAUAUAUUGAAUGAGUAUGUGUGUAUGUUUAAAUUUGUGCAUAAAUUCAUAAAUGUUUUUAUUGCUCAAAUACUAAUAGAGAUUAAUAAUAUAUGAUAGUAAUGUUUUGUAUUUAUUUAACUAGAAUGAUACUCUUAUAAUAUCCGUUUGUCAAAAAAAAAAACUAGAUACUCUUAUAUGCAAGAACUAUUUCCAAUAUUGGAGGAUGUACAUGACGAUAUAUCAGCGUGGGAUAACUUCUUUCAUUACAAAUUCAAUACUUCAUUGUUAACUAAGUAUCUCAAUGUUUUAUUGAUCAUCAAUUUGAGUGGUCGUAGUUCUCUAUUUAAUACUAUCUAAAAGGCUAAUAUUAGAUUUUGAGAGCGGUUUCAAAACACGUGAUUAAUCUUUUUGUUAGUUCAUAUGAAAUGGUUAAUCUGUUUGUCUAACUCAUUUUGUACUUGAUAAAUAUUCUGUAUAUUCAAUAGCAUAACCCAAAAAGAUAGUAAAAAUGUUUACUUAUUAACUGUAGGUUAAGUUUUAGGAAAUUUAACUAUAUUUUAAAUUUUUAAUAUUAAUUAGAAUAAAAUAAUUAAGAUUUAUUUUAAAAAUAUUUAUUUUAAAUUAUAAUAUUGUAUACUCGUUAAGAGAUUUAUGUAAUAUCGAUCUAAAAUGAUUAUUUAUAUAAUUUUAAAAUAUAUUUUGAUAUUAUGAGUAGUUGUAAUAUUUGUUAAAUAACUUAUUUAGAUAUUGAAAAUUUGUUUAAAUUUGAGAAUAAAAUUUUGUGGUCAACUAAAGGAUAAUGUCAACACAUACACACACACACACAUAUAUAUAUAUAUAAUAUUGUAAAUAUAUUCCUUGAUAAAUCAGUAUAAUUUUUAUUUAACUAUAAUGUUAGAUAUAUCUUUAAGAACGUAAUUUUAAUUUCAAGUUUAGUUUUUAUCUAAUACUGAAUAUUUUUAGUUACAUUAUAUGAGUUCUAUAGUUUAACAAUAUAUACAAAGUAUAACCUCUUUAAAUUAAUACUCUAUAAAUUAAUAUACACUAAAUAUAUAUAUAUAAAAUAAUAUAAUUUUAUAGUCUCAAAUUGAGUUUUUGGUUCAAUUAGUAUAUCGAUAAAUUAAUAUCUCUAUAAAUUAAUAAAAAGAACCGUCGCUAUGCUGUUUACAGUAUCUCACAAAGUAGUUCUCACGUGUCGGGACUAGCGGCGACGGAACUUGGAACUCAGCUGUCAUCUUUGCAACACAAACCAAACCACAAAAAAGGUUUAAAAACCGAUUACUACACUGUUCGGUUUAGUUUCUUGAGAAGCAAGUAAUCAGCUAGGUUUACAUACCACUUGCAAUGCACCAUUGUAGUUCCCAGCAACUCCAGUAGACAGAACUUCAAGUGUCAAGGCUCUUGAGACGAUCCCAGAGAACACACAAGACCAUUGAUUCUGUAUCCCCAAGACAAAAGUAAAAUAUUAGCUAACUAGGGUUUAAAAGUUAGUCAAUAAAACUUGGAGAUCAAGAAACAAUUUAAUUAAUUUACCACAUCCAUGAGAAUCUCAACGAGGUUGAUGUGAUUCAUUAUAACAACAGCUGAUUCUCUUGACGCUUCUGUUCUCAACCCUAGUGGCUUUGGUCCGAUUCCUCUUGGAAACGUUCUGAAAUACUCUUCUUCGUUCAGAAGGUCCAUCGAGUUACCGGUCGAAACCCAUAAUGGAUCCCCAGCUUGAGCCAUUCUCACGAGUUCCUCCAUAGCUGCAACCGCUAGCUCGACGAUCAUAGGCUUGUCUGUAUCAGAAGGGAUUGAAACCGACCUCAAAAUGUCACCUGUUCCAUACAUGUCCCCUACAAAACCUGUCGUCUGGUUCCCGAAGUUCCCAACUUCAAGUUCCAGAGAACGAGAAGGCGCGUGGAUCCCUAGUGGAGCGAAUGAAGAUCCUACUGGCUUCCCAACGUACUUUGCAGCAAUGGCGGAGAUCCUGUCAAUCUGUAGGUUCAAGUGUUGAUAGAAUCAGGUUGGUCGAAUUCAACUUAAGUCACGUAUAUGAUAAGAUUAACUACCUCUUCGCGGAGGCGAACAUUUUCGAUCCUGAGAUGCUGUUCAUCGAAGGACAUUUCUCCGAUAGCAGCUGGACCGCCACAGUUAGGGCAUGUAGCAUUGCUUAGAGCCUCCUUGUAUCUGUUGUUCUCUGCUCUGAGCUUGUCAUUGUCUGACUUAAGAAUCUGGUUCUCAUGCCUCUCAUGUUGUGCCUAUAGAUAUAGCACACACACACACACACGAAAUGAGAUUAAUAUAAUUUAUUUCAAUCUAUUAUAAUUAUGAUAUUAAUUAUUUUACUAUAUAAGAAUUGAUUUUUAAUUUAAUAAGAAUUUAAUGAAGAGGAUGUUAUUUGUUACAUAAAUAUAUACCUUCAUUUGUGUGCGUUUGUUUUGGAACCAAAACUUUAUUUGAAGAGGCUCUAAACCGAGAUCGCGGCUCAACUCUUUACGUUGCUUAUCAUCUGGAUGAGGGCAUUCUUUAAAGAACCUGUAAAAUCCAAAAAACUCAAAAUUUAAACUUUGGAAAUGUUUUCAUGUCUAUUGUUAUAUGAGCUAGAGCUUGAGUGAGUGUUGUUUCUUACGAUUCCAGCUCUUGGAUUUGACGUUGCGUGUGGCGAUGGUAACGCUUCUUUUUGUUGGGACGUUGGUUAGGAUCUUGAAGCUCUUCACCGGAAGGAUUCUCGGUGGUGACUUCGGUGCCUGACUUGGUCUCGAAAUCAUCUUCACGGCUUCCGGUGAUUCCAAAGUCGUUGUCGGAGGUACUCUUUGUGGUCAUGUCGAACAUAUGAUGGCUCUCAAACAUGUUUGGAUGAUACAUUGUGAUGAUGAUUUGAUUCUGAUCACUCAAUCAGAUACUAAUAACCACGUUUUUAAGUUGUGAACGUUGGUUCCCUCAAAUCUUCUAGGC
rnacentral:lncRNA from 1 species